ensembl:lncRNA
GGAUCUUCGCUUUCUUCUCGUUGAGGACCAAAACAAAGCGAGAGUAGAGCUCCGCCUCCCAGGGCCUCCUUCCCUCCGGCGUAACGCUCCAGUCUUCAAGCCGCACUCAGGUUUCCAUUCGCCAACGGCUGCCAUGGCAACGCGUUGGCAGGGCUGACCCCAGUUCACUCGGUGCGCUCAUGAUCAGAGGUUUAAAGCCUGUAAACACUCAUCUUUCUACUUCACAUCCAAAGACAAGCGGAUGGUUCGGUCACUCACAGAGAUGUCCUUCU